rnacentral:rRNA from 1 species
AAUCCAUAGGUUAAUGAGGCGAACCGGGGGAACUGAAACAUCUAAGUACCCCGAGGAAAAGAAAUCAACCGAGAUUCCCCCAGUAGCGGCGAGCGAACGGGGAGGAGCCCAGAGCCUGAAUCAGCAUGUGUGUUAGUGGAAGCGUCUGGAAAGGCGCGCGAUACAGGGUGACAGCCCCGUACACAAAAGCGCAUGUGCUGUGAGCUCGAUGAGUAGGGCGGGACACGUGGUAUCCUGUCUGAAUAUGGGGGGACCAUCCUCCAAGGCUAAAUACUCCUGACUGACCGAUAGUGAACCAGUACCGUGAGGGAAAGGCGAAAAGAACCCCGGCGAGGGGAGUGAAAAAGAACCUGAAACCGUGUACGUACAAGCAGUGGGAGCCCCACCACUAAGCCAGUGGUGAACUCCACAUACGCAUCCUUUGCUGAGGAUACGGUUAACGGAGCGAAAGCGAUGUUCAACCGCAAAACAAGCAGAGGGGGCUUAGUGGUGGGGUGACUGCGUACCUUUUGUAUAAUGGGUCAGCGACUUAUAUUCUGUAGCAAG